rnacentral:rRNA from 1 species
AGUGAACGCUGGCGGUAGGCCUAACACAUGCAAGUCGAACGGUAGCACAGUAAGAGCUUGCUCUUACGGGUGGCGAGUGGCGGACGGGUGAGGAAUACAUCGGAAUCUACUUUUUCGUGGGGGAUAACGUAGGGAAACUUACGCUAAUACCGCAUACGACCUACGGGUGAAAGCAGGGGAUCUUCGGACCUUGCGCGAUUGAAUGAGCCGAUGUCGGAUUAGCUAGUUGGCGGGGUAAAGGCCCACCAAGGCGACGAUCCGUAGCUGGUCUGAGAGGAUGAUCAGCCACACUGGAACUGAGACACGGUCCAGACUCCUACGGGAGGCAGCAGUGGGGAAUAUUGGACAAUGGGGGCAAGCCUGAUCCAGCCGUACCGCGUGGGUGAAGAAGGCCUUCGGGUUGUAAAGCCCUUUUGUUGGGAAAGAAAAGCAGCAGGUUAAUACCCCGCUGUUCUGACGGUACCCAAAGAAUAAGCACCGGCUAACUUCGUG